GAGUUUGAUCCUGGUUCAGGACGAACGCUGGCGGCGUGCCUAACACAUGCAAGUCGAACGGGGUCCAUCCGGUGGCAACACUGGAGAAGACUCAGUGGCGAACGGGUGCGGAACACGUGAGCAACCUGCCCCGAAGAUCGGGAUAACGGCGGGAAACUGCCGCUAAUACCGGAUGCCCCCACGAGCCCGCAUGGGUUUGUGAGGAAAGGAUUCUGCUUCGGGAGGGGCUCGCGGCCUAUCAGCUUGUUGGUGGGGUAACGGCCUACCAAGGCGACGACGGGUAGCUGGUCUGAGAGGACGAUCAGCCACACUGGGACUGAGACACGGCCCAGACUCCUACGGGAGGCAGCAGUGGGGAAUCUUGCGCAAUGGGCGAAAGCCUGACGCAGCAACGCCGCGUGGGGGAUGAAUGCCUUCGGGUUGUAAACCCCUUUCAGUGGGAACGAAAUUGACGGUACCCACAGAAGAAGCCCCGGCCAACUACGUGCCAGCAGCCGCGGUGAUACGUAGGGGGCGAGCGUUGUCCGGAUUCAUUGGGCGUAAAGAGCUUGUAGGCGGCUUGGUAAGUCGGGUGUGAACCUCCAGGCUCACCUGGA
rnacentral:rRNA from 1 species